CCCUUAGAUGUUCUGGGCCGCACGCGUGCUACACUGAGUGGAUCAGCGGGUCAGGUUGCGCGAAAGUGUUUCCUAAUCUUGAAAUCCGCUCGUGAUGGGGAUUGACGGUUGCAAUUUUCCGUCAUGAACGAGGAAUACCUUGUAAGCGCGGGUCAUCAUCCCGCGCUGAAUACGUCCCUGCCCUUUGUACACACCGCCCGUCGCUCCUACCGAUUGGGUGUGCUGGUGAAAUGUUCGGAUCGGCCGUUUGUCGCGGUUUCCGCGGCUCGUGGCUGAGAAGUUCAUUAAACCCUCCCACCUAGAGGAAGGAGAAGUCGUAACA
rnacentral:rRNA from 1 species